CAGCCGCCGCGGUAAUACGUAGGGGGCAAGCGUUGUCCGGAAUCAUUGGGCGUAAAGAGCGUGUAGGCGGCCCGAUAAGUCCGCUGUGAAAGUCCAGGGCUCAACCCUGGAAUGCCGGUGGAUACUGUCGGGCUCGAAUCCGGAAGAGGUGAGUGGAAUUCCUGGUGUAGCGGUGAAAUGCGCAGAUAUCAGGAGGAACACCAAUGGCGAAGGCAGCUCACUGGGACGGUAUUGACGCUGAGACGCGAAAGCGUGGGGAGCAAACAGG
rnacentral:rRNA from 1 species